rnacentral:rRNA from 1 species
UACGUAGGGGGCAAGCGUUGUCCGGAUUUAUUGGGCGGAAAGAGCGUGUAGGCGGCUAGACAGGUCCGCUGUGAAAACUCGAGGCUCAACCUCGAGAUGUCGGCGGAAACCGUCUGGCUAGAGUCCGGAAGAGGAGAGUGGAAUUCCUGGUGUAGCGGUGAAAUGCGCAGAUAUCAGGAAGAACACCUAUGGCGAAGGCAGCUCUCUGGGACGGUACUGACGCUGAGACGCGAAAGCGUGGGGAGCGAACAGG